GGGGCGUUAGCUCAGUCGGUAGAGCAUCGGACUUUUAAUCCGCUGGUCGACGGUUCGAAUCCGUCACGCCCCA
rnacentral:tRNA from 1 species